rnacentral:rRNA from 1 species
GACGAACGCUGGCGGCGUGCUUAACACAUGCAAGUCGAACGAAGAGCGAUGGAAGCUUGCUUCUAUCAAUCUUAGUGGCGAACGGGUGAGUAACGCGUAAUCAACCUGCCCUUCAGAGGGGGACAACAGUUGGAAACGACUGCUAAUACCGCAUACGAUCUAACCUCGGCAUCGAGGAUAGAUGAAAGGUGGCCUCUACAUGUAAGCUAUCACUGAAGGAGGGGAUUGCGUCUGAUUAGCUAGUUGGAGGGGUAACGGCCCACCAAGGCGAUGAUCAGUAGCCGGUCUGAGAGGAUGAACGGCCACAUUGGGACUGAGACACGGCCCAGACUCCUACGGGAGGCAGCAGUGGGGAAUCUUCCGCAAUGGACGAAAGUCUGACGGAGCAACGCCGCGUGAGUGAUGACGGCCGUCGGGUUGGAAAGCUCGGUUAAUCGGGACGAAAGGCCUUCUUGCGAAUAGUGAGAAGGAUUGACGGUACCGGAAUAGAAAGCCACGGCUAACUACGUG